AUUGAACGCUGGCGGCAAGCCUAACACAUGCAAGUCGAACGAGUGGCGGACGGGUGAGUAAUGUCUGGGAAACUGCCUGAUGGCUGGGGAUAACUACUGGAAACGGUAGCUAAUACCGCAUACCAUCGGAUGUGCCCAGAUGGGAUAAGCUAGUAGGUGGGGUAAAGGCUCACCUAGGCGACGAUCCCUAGCUGGCCUGCGAGGAUGACCAGCAACACUGGAACUGAGACACGGCCCAGACUCCUACGGGAGGCAGCAGUGGGGAAUAUUGCACAAUGGGCGCAAGCCUGAUGCAGCCAUGCCGCGUGUAGGAAGAAGGCCUUCGGGUUGUAAAGUACUUUCAGCGGGGAGGCGUUACCCAAACAGGAAGCACCGGCUAACUCCGUGCCAGCAGCCGCGGUAAUUC
rnacentral:rRNA from 1 species